AGAUCUUUUUAUUGAGCAAAUGUACAACUCUGGUUGAUUGUAUUGAUAGUGAUCUUAUAAUAGAUACUAUUAUUCCUAAAGGACCUCCAUUACAGCUUAGUAAUGAGUGUGAAUCUAUUAUUUCAUCUUGUAAAUAUCCUAAGAGAAGGAAUAAUGAUAUAGAUGAAAUAAAAACUUUACUAAAAUUAGAACAUGAAAAAACGAAAUUGGAAUUAGAGAUGAAUAAAAAUAGAUAUAAUGAAUAUGCGAUAUGUCAUGUAAUUGAGAGAUAAAUUAGACGGAUGCAGUAUUCAAGAGAAGAAAGAUCUUUCUGAUCAAAUGUAUGAUCUCAUACGCAACUUUAAUUAAAU